CGAGCGAGAAAGUUGGCUUCGGCCAGCGAGUAAAGCGGCGCACGGGUGAGUAACGCGUGGACAAUCUGCCUCAUGGUGGAGAAUAACCUGCCGAAAGGCGGGCUAAUGCUGGAUAAGGUCUUUUGGGCUGCGGCCUGGGAGAGGAAACGAUGCUCGCAAUGGGUGUCGCCGUGAGAUGAGUCCGCGUCCCAUCAGGUAGUUGGCGGGGUAAUGGCCCACCAAGCCUAAGACGGGUAGCUGGUCUGAGAGGAUGAUCAGCCACACUGGAACUGAGACACGGUCCAGACUCCUACGGGAGGCAGCAGUGGGGAAUUUUGGUCAAUGGGCGCAAGCCUGAACCAGCAACGCCGCGUGGGUGAUGAAGGCCUUCGGGUUGUAAAGCCCUGUCGGGAGGGACGAAUCCCCAGUGUAAUGAACUGGGUUGACGGUACCUUCAAAGGAAGCACCGGCUAACUCUGUGCCAGCAGCCGCGGUAAUACAGAGGGUGCAAGCGUUGUUCGGAAUUACUGGGCGUAAAGCGCGUGUAGGCGGUCUGCCAAGUCUGAUGUGAAAGCCCUGGGCUCAACCCAGGAAGUGCGUCAGAUACUGGUGGACUGGAGUGGCGGAGAGGAUGGCGGAAUACCCGGUGUAGAGGUGAAAUUCGUAGAUAUCGGGUGGAACACCUGUGGCGAAGGCGGCCAUCUGGACGUCAACUGACGCUGAGACGCGAAAGCAUGGGGAGCAAACAGGAUUAGAUACCCUGGUAGUCCAUGCUGUAAACGAUGGAUGCUAGAUGUCGCGGGUAUUGACCCCUGCGGUGUCGACGCUAACGCAUUAAGCAUCCCGCCUGGGGAGUACG
rnacentral:rRNA from 1 species